CCCGGCGACCGGCGCGCGGGUGAGUAACACGUAUGCAACCUGGCCGCCACAGGGGGAUAACCCGCGGAAACGCGGCCUAAUACCCCGUGACGCCACCGGAGGGCAUCCUCCGGUGGCCAAAGGAGCGAUCCGGUGGCGGAUGGGCAUGCGGCGCAUUAGCUAGACGGCGGGGUGACGGCCCACCGUGGCGACGAUGCGUAGGGGUUCUGAGAGGAAGGCCCCCCACACUGGGACUGAGACACGGCCCAGACUACUACGGAAGGCAGCAG
rnacentral:rRNA from 1 species